rnacentral:rRNA from 1 species
UACGUAGGCAGCGAGCGUUGUUCGGAGUUACUGGGCGUAAAGAGUGCGUAGGCGGUUUUCUAAGUUUGGUGUGAAAUCUCCCGGCUUAACUGGGAGGGUGCGCCGGAAGACUGGAAGGCUUGAGUAUGGGAGAGGUAGCGGAAUUCCUGGUGUAGCGGUGAAAUGCGUAGAUAUCAGGAGGAACACCUGCGGUGUAGACGGCUUACUGGACCAUAACUGACGCUGAGGCACGAAAGCGUGGGUAGCAAACAGG